CAAUAGCGUAUAUUAAAGCUGUUGCGGUUAAAAAGCUCGUAGUUGGAUUUCUGUCAAGGACAACUGGUCCGCCCUCCGGGUGAGCACAUAGUUUGGUCUUGACAUCUUGCUGGAAGCUGUUGCUGCACUUGGCUGUGUGGCGCAGUGUUCAGCACUUUCACUUUGAGGAAAUUGGAGUGUUUCAAGCAGGCACAUGCCUUUGGACACAGUAGCAUGGAAUAAUUAGAUUGGGCUUUUGCUCCAAUUUGUCGGUUUCUGGAGCUGAGGUGAGUAUUAAUGGGGAUUGUUGGGGGCAUCCGAAUUCAGCCGUCAGAGGUGAAAUUCUUGGAUCUGCUAAAGACGGACAACUGCGAAAGCGUUUGCCCAGGAUGUUUUCAUUGA
rnacentral:rRNA from 1 species